GUUAAAAUAGGGAAUGCCAAACAUAACCUUAUACUAACAGAUUGUUAAGUUAUUUGAGAGCUGUGGGGGGUUUUUGUGUAGUUCAUCAUUUAGCUUCGGUCAGUUCUUUUGUAAUCUGAUCUUCCAACAUGGUAUAAUGUUGCCCCCUUAGUUCUUUGAUAUAAUUCAUCUCUCUCCAAAAAAUUGAUUGGUGCUGUUGUUGUCCGUCACAUUUCCUGAUUUCAUAAGGUGGCCAUUCGUGGUGCUUUUCAUGUUCAAUGUAUCCAUGUUGAAGAACUUAUGGAAACCAAUAUGUGACAGAUUUGUCUCUAUUCCUUUUUCUUUUUUCUAUUAUUAUAUUCUCUUGGAUUAAAGCCUGUGAAAGGCAUGCUUGUCGAGUUUUGAGCAGUCCUACAUGCUUUUCUAUCUGGAAAUACACUGACUGGAUGCUGUAUAUGAACAGAUUGUUGAGGUCAAUGAAGCAUCAGUGGAUGUUUUGCAUCAUUAAGUCUGUUGUAGUGCCGAUGUACCUGAGGGAAAGAUUCUGAGUCUUAUUGCUCAUAUUGACCUUUUGUUUAUCCAGCAGGGUUAAUUUUCCAGUUUUUUUUAUGAUGUUCAGGUAAUGGUAAAGAAAUACGUACGGUCUUAGAAUAGCAUAUAGAAGGGAGCUUCACAUUAAACGAAUAAGAAGAGCAGAUAACAGAUAUAUAUGGAGUAUGACCAAAAGUCCACAGGAAGGCACACAACACACAACACACAAAAGUAAAUUAUGAGAUUAGAAGGAUAUGUAGACAAAAGUGUCUGUGAGUAACUGUGUAUACAUCUAUGUAUUGCAAUCACAUGUAAAUUUUCUUCAUCUGUACUUGCUAAUUAUAUCUUUGUUCUUUCCCAAGACUUUUGCAUCAAGCACUGUAUAUAGGACAAUAUUUGUUAUGGAUUUCAUCUUUUUCCUGAUGUUGCUUCUUUCUUGUGCCGGCCCUGCAGUUGUUUCCGGUGCAUGUCGCUUUCGUAACACCACCUUCUAAGGACUUUACAUUUCCCAUAAUCUCUGAAGGUACCAACUCAGCGAAGAGAUAUUACUGCACAUUGAUUGGUUUGGACUUUGGAGACACUGUUACUGAAUGUGAUAUUGAUCCAAGUCUCUCAACAUCUUCCAAGGCAAUCAUCCAACUGGCUUGUUUUCUGAAGCCCACGUGCCCUUCUAAGUUUGUCUUCUUUGGAGAAAAAGACAUCACAAAUGUGUCUAUUCUGAACCUAUUAAAUUUUGGAAAGGUUGAUGGAAUGGAAGAUCUUGAAUACCUUGAACUCUACGUUCUCUGGUGUGCUGGUUCGGGAAACCGCAGUUGUCAUAAUUGCUAACUCAAAGAACUCUUGUAAGAGACAUUAAAGCUAAAAUGAAGGUCAACCUUUGAAGGUCUUUGGUACUGCUCAUAUGCCUUACUUGAUCAACUGUUGCAACCUUCACCAGAGACACCGAUUACUGAUUCUGCCGCAGCGCCUGCCCACUUGAUAGCAAUAAGAGCAUCUUAACACUCCAAGUGCAGCACUAGUCAAUUAUGAAUUAUCACUGGAUAGGAACAUGUUUAAAGGUACUUUCUGUAUAAUCACUGGCUUCAGAAGAGAUUUAUUUUACCACCAAGGGUUUCAUUUAAGUAAUCUAUUGUUAAUCCCUGUUUUUGGAGUUAUUUGGUAAGCCUACACUUACGAGUCAUACCUCAUCUCAAACCAUCACUUUUAUGAUAACAAAGUUGGAUCAACCAAAUGCUAUUUUGACUAUUUCACAUGUAAAUUCCAGGGAUGGAGUCUCCAGUGAAGUCAUACCUUCGUAACAGUUCUGAUGUUGGGAGUGAGGCUUUUGGUUUUAGACUUCCCAUUGAUUUGCUAAUCUUGAUGAAUUACAAUAGAGGGCAAUUUACUUGUUUGAGUUUAUUACUGUAGCCCUUGUGACUUGAUGUUUGUGAAUAGGUACUUCAAAUUGUUAGUGAAUUAUAACAAAUUCAACACAGACGCACACACAAACACCAUGUUUUGGAUGUGGAUCAGUGACAACAACCCUUGCUGUUGAAUCCGACCUGCUGAGUUUUGUGAGGUCAUUGCUGCAGUUUGCUAUGAGGCAUCUUCGCCAAAUGAUCUGUUAUCAGAUAGAUUAUAUUGCACUAUGGAAAGCCGUUGAUGGACGCAGCAGUACUGAGCAUUCUAAUCAAACUUGAUAUUGACAUGUAUGUUUUGGAUUCUGAAACUGCUAUUGUUCUCACUCUGUCAAGGCUCCAGGAGAUGCGUCAAUUACCUUGGUUUUUCAUGACUAGAAUAUGUGCUUCUCUUUCCCCCCUUGUUUAUGGUUUCUUUCAUCAUAUUCCAAUUUUAUCAAUAUGAUCUUUCAUGCUUAAUCCUUCAAGAGCAACUCGCUGGUUCGUGCAUUUAAUUUCAUUUUGAACCUUGGAGUUCAUGUUCAUAUGUUCAAUUGUAAGAGUUCAUCGUAAUCGACGAUAUGCCUCAACUGUGAGGAUUUAAUGUCGAGAAUCAUAUUUUGAAGUGAAGCUAAGCUUGCAACACAAGUUAUUUUGAUGGGCACU